GGAGUUGUAGCUUAGUGGUUGAGCACUUGCCUAGCAUGUGUGAGGCACUGGGUUCGAUCCCCAGCACCA
rnacentral:tRNA from 1 species